AACUCUCUGCGGACGCGCCCCGGCCCGGCGUCCGCGCAUUGUGUGUUCGUAACAACGGCCGUCAAACUCGCGAAGCGCCUUAGUUUUGUCAUUUGACAGCUUGGGCGACAGGAGGGGACCGGAGGACAGCUGCCGACGGACCGGGGCCGCCCCACGCAGACGAAGGCCCUGCGGCUCGCCGCGCCCCGCCGCUCCCCGGAUCUCAGGCGCGCUGGUCUUCGUAAGCCCAGCCUAGCGCGCGCUGAGCCCUUGGAGCGCUUGUUCUAAUCCUCAGGGUGGAAACGGGCGCGUGAGAGGCUCCGGAUUUCUCACCGUGAAACCGAGUGGGAGGCACCUAUGAGACUGGCCAAAGAACCUAGAAGGGAAGAAAAGUUUUCCAUCUGUACAGUCUGGAGCCCAACAUGGAUCCCUCCACGGGCUGGACACCACUGGCUCUGGGGCUGCUGCAGCUGAGAGAUCCUGGGGCCUCCAAGAAGAAUGGCAGAAGAUCUCCAACACAGCAUCACAUCUGUGAAGGGCCUUGCCUGACAACCCCAUCUAUGACCCACUCCAGUUAUUCUUCGCUUUCUUCUGCUUGUCUGACACAGCACUCAUCCCCACCUGACAGGACACUGCCCUCUGCGAGUGUCUGUUCACUGUCUCCAUAAGUUCCAAAGAGGCGGUUUUGUUCACUGCUGAAUUCCCAGUGCCAAAACAGUGCCUGCCACAUAGUAAGUGCUAAAUAACUACUUGUUUAAUAAAGUAAUGAAUGGUUUAAAAGGGGAAAAUGUUCCAUCUACCUCAAAUCUUUAAAGACUCCAAAAAAAAUCUAACUAGACAUGAAUUACUUUAACCAGCAUCUUUAAUUUAGAAACCAAUUCAUUUGUACAAAAGUUGAAUAUAUCAUCUUUCCUAAAAGUCAACUGAAAAAACUUUCAAAAUUUUACUACAUAUAACAAAAUCAGUAACGAGGACAGACUUUCCUUAAAUAGGGAUCUUUUUAAAAACGAAAUAGGCCCCAAACCUACCUCCAGUAAAAAACUCUUACCUUAAGAAGACCAAAUACUAAUCAGGAUAUGUGACCAGAAUAAGGAAUUUCUAAUACUAAGGUAUCAUUUGACCUGAGUCAAAUUUAAUCACAUUUCCUCACUAGUCAGAGAAUUAGAUGGGAUGGAACAAGAAAUAACUAGGCACAAUAUCAGGACCAAGGUAACCCACUGGUGGCUGUCAGAGGCCCCUGUUUUGAUGCGCGGCUCCCUGGACCCACUCUGACUGCCCGGAGGGAAUUCUCUCUCUACUGAAACCUUUCCAUGGGGAGCUCAUCCCAAACUGUGAUUUGAAGAUUUACUGAAGGGGGUAAGAUGUUCUUCCUAAUGGAACAAUAUAGAAUACAACAUUCAAAAGCUUUAAUCUUGAAAAUUAUAUACAUAUACUUUUAAAUAGUGAAACUACAUUCUAGUUACAAGACAAAAUUAUGGUUGCAGUUACUCUAGAGUCCAGAAAAAAGAAGAAAGGAAAAUUUAAAUGUUUUCCAAGUGUUUCUCCAUCAUUGCCAGGGUACCCACGUAACCAGCUCACAAAAAGUCAUGUGAUAGAAAGAGGACAGACAUAACCCAACUGCAAAUUACUAAACUGGCUUUCAGAUUAUAAAUCGAUUCUGAAUAAGGCUACAAUAUAUGAUUCCUUUGCCUUGAAAUCUAAUCACUCUUUGGUAAACGAAUAUUGCUGGGGUACUAAAACUGUACAAAUAAGGCAUUGGACUGAAGAGCAUAGGAUCCAAGUGGACUGGAAGGCGUUACCUGGAAUGAUCUGCUCACACACCCCCUAAGUACCACUCUCACCUUGUGUGUGAGAACACUGAGGCCUAGUGUGACACACAAGGACACAACAGACAACAAGCAACAGAACUAUAAGGCCUAGCUUCCUGCCUCCACGUGGUCUCCAACCUCUAAUCUUCUAGGCUGUUUUCCCAUUUAAGUGUAGUUUGCUAUUUCAUCUGAAUAUUCAUGAAUAUUUUUAUUUUCUAAUGCAUGAAGAUCUGCCUUAAGCAAGAACCUCAUAAGCCCCACAAAAGAGAAGUGGCUCAUUUUUCAAUUUCUCACACAGCUAUAGCUAACAGGUGGAUCACUGCUUCUACUAGUUUUCCAAAUAUGAAACGAACCCACAAUCAAGAAACAUGAAUGGUGUUGGAGAAGAUAUGAAAAAAUAGGUUCCCUUGUGCAUUGCUGAUGGGGAUGUAAAAUGGCACAGUCACUGUAAAAAACAGUUUGGGGGUUCUUCCAAAAGUUACACAUAGAACUACCAUAUGACCCAGCAAUUAUAGGUAUCUAAGAGAAAUGAAAAAUACAUCUACACAGAAAUUUGUACACAAAUGCUAAAAGCAGCAUUAUUUAUAAUAAUAGUCAAAAGGUGGGAACAACCAAAAUGCCCACCAAUGGUGAAUGGGUAACAGACGCUGGCAUGGCCACAUGAUGGAGGGUCAUGCAGCCACAAGAGGGAGUGAGGGGCUGAUGCAGGCUACAACUUGGAUGGACCUUGAAAUCAUUACGCCAAGUGAAGGAAGCAGACACAAAAGGUGACGUUGCAUGAUUUCUUUUAUAUGAAAUCUCCAGAACAGGCAAAUCCAGACAAAGAAAGCAGUCAAGUAAGUAGUCAGAGGAUUGGGGGGAUAGGGGAUGGAAUGAGAGUUCUGAAAGCAGAAAGUUUACCCAGCACUGUGAAUAUAUUAAAUACCACUGAAAUGUACACUUUAAAAUAGUUAAUUAUAUGUUAUGUGAAUUUUACCUCAACUUAAAAAAAAGAAGAGAAAAAAGAAAGAUAAAAUGCA